rnacentral:rRNA from 1 species
AGCGACUAAGCGUACACGGUGGAUGCCCUGGCAGUCAGAGGCGAUGAAGGGCGUGCUAAUCUGCGAUAAGCGCCGGUAAGGUGAUAUGAACCGUUAUAACCGGCGAUACCCGAAUGGGGAAACCCAGUGUGACUCGUCACACUAUCAUUAACUGAAUCCAUAGGUUAAUGAGGCGAACCGGGGGAACUGAAACAUCUAAGUACCCCGAGGAAAAGAAAUCAACCGAGAUUCCCCCAGUAGCGGCGAGCGAACGGGGAGGAGCCCAGAGCCUGAAUCAGCAUGUGUGUUAGUGGAAGCGUCUGGAAAGGCGCGCGAUACAGGGUGACAGCCCCGUACACAAAAGCGCAUGUGCUGUGAGCUCGAUGAGUAGGGCGGGACACGUGGUAUCCUGUCUGAAUAUGGGGGGACCAUCCUCCAAGGCUAAAUACUCCUGACUGACCGAUAGUGAACCAGUACCGUGAGGGAAAGGCGAAAAGAACCCCGGCGAGGGGAGUGAAAAAGAACCUGAAACCGUGUACGUACAAGCAGUGGGAGCCCCACCACCAAAGCAUUUGCUGUACCGCGUUGACGGAGCGAAGCGACGUCAAACCGAUAAAACAGCAGUGUAAAGUGAGCCGCAGGGCGCUUUGCGCGACAGCGCAAAGGCAGGCGGUUUCGCGUAGCGAAAGCGAAUGCUUUGGGGUGG